GAAACGACCCGCCCCGAAACCCCCCAGGCGAGUCUAUCUAGUUACAUCAAAACAGACUUAAAAAUAAUAUUAUACGUAAAGAAUCUGCUGAAAAUUCGACAGAGUCUCCUUUAUAUAUAUAACACUCCCAAAGUACAAAUAUGAAUAUACAACAAACUCCAGUGCUCAACAUACUCAACCAAAAAUACUGAGUUAUAUAAUAUACAACCCCAAAAGAACAAGAUGACCAAGAUGUCCCAACAAAAACAUUUAUAUACUCUAGCACCAUCACGUGGCCAAGACUCAAAAUAUAUACAGUCGCUGGGUCGGUCUGGUGUACCUGCAACCUCCUGGUGAGGGGGGGAAAAUAUAAUAAAAACGGGGUGAGUUUAAAACUCAGUGAGAUCAGUGAGUGGAUAGUAGGUUUGAAAAUUGAUCUUUACUUUAAAAGAAAUAAGCAUAUCCAAACACGGUUUCAUUAAACCAUAAGUGAGAAAUCAGAAAUAAAUCAUUAAAUAUUUAAAUCAGAUUACCAACCAUAGAAAUCAUAUCACCAAAUCAUAUCGAUUUCACAAAUCUGAAAAUCAUAUCUCAUCAUAUCUCUGCAUGCAUAAUCUAGUCCCCAAAGGACAAAAGCGCCCAAGCACACGGCCCAAAGCCUCUGUGUGUACUCAGACAGGCCCCAAAGGCCUCCUUACAAUCAGAGCGCGCACCUCCCUUAUUACCCUUCAGUUUGGCGGGCCUCCCUUAUUACCCCUCAUCUAUAUCACUGUACUCAUAUUCACAUACCUCUUUACCACAUUUUAAAUCAUACCACAUUUGAAUCCACUUUUCUUAACUUUCAAAUAAUAUCACACUUUAUUCAAAAUCGAUACGCAAAAUUAUUAACCAAACAUUUUCAUAUAAUAUCAACAAGUGAAUAAAAUCCAUUUCGAGAAAUCAUUAAAUCAGCACAUUUAAAAAUACUUAUUCCGCAACCAUGCUUUACUAUCAUAAUUAACUCUAAAAAUAAGUUUCGUAUAUUCCACUCACAGUGACGGUGUUCACAGUCGGUUAUCGUCUACGUCCGCGGACCGGUUCUCGCUCGCGGAUCCUCCUAAAUCAAGGAAACGACAUAAUUAUUCUCCGUAAAUCGAAAUUCCGACUAAAUAUAUGCAAUAACUCGAAACGAACAUUUAUCCAUAAUUAACAACUCCCGUGACGAUAAAAUUACUAAAAUGCCCUUGAGUCCGUAAAUCAUUAACAUGCUCCGAAAUCAUAAAUCACCGAAUUAUCCUCGAAAUCGUAAUUACACCCAAUUCACAAUUCUAUGAAUUACUAAAAUAUCCACAGGCUCAGAAAUGACAAAAUUGCCCUCAUAGUGUGAAAUUACCAAAAUGCCCUUGCCGGUCAACGGUCACCGGAAUUUGGUCAACGCUGGCCAGGAAGCUCAAAUCUUAAAGUGCCAAUCACGCUGAGUUCAAUGGUACCGGCGGUGAGCUCCAACGCGCGGCAACGACGCCGGAAUCUAGCUCGACAGCCGUGAGUUCCAACAAUCGACUGGCAGCAAAACGACGACUCUCGGUGCCUAUGAAUGGUCGGAAAUGGAAGAGGGAGUCAUGAGGAACAAAAUCCAACCGGUGGUGUCACUCAAAACCGGCGAAAAUCUCGGCGGAGUAAAGUGAAGCAGUCGCGGGUUUCAAGCUUCGAUCGCCGGCGUUCCGGUUCGUUUUCGGCAGUGAGGAUGGCAGGGGAACGACGGUAGGCUUCUAAGCUUCAGAUCGGUACCAAGCUCGGCCAAAACAGUGGUCGGAAACGUGAAAUCCGUCCGGGUUAAAGUCGCGGGUCGGGUCGGAUCCGGCGGGUCAAGAUCGGGUAAGUUGGCAGCUUCUCUCUCUCUGUUUUACACGUGCAUGUGUUUCCUCUGUUUCCAACAUAUUCCUUUGCUUAUAAACUCUUUCACCGCCUCAUGCCAUUUUACAUUCACAGGUAUUACAAUCCUCCCCCCUUAUAAAAAUUUCGUCCUCGAAAUUUACGUAC
rnacentral:lncRNA from 1 species